rnacentral:rRNA from 1 species
GACGAACGCUGGCGGCGUGCUUAACACAUGCAAGUCGAACGGUAAGGCCCUUCGGGGUACACGAGUGGCGAACGGGUGAGUAACACGUGGGUGAUCUGCCCUGCACUUCGGGAUAAGCCUGGGAAACUGGGUCUAAUACCGGAUAGGACCCUGGGAUGCAUGUCCUGGGGUGGAAAGCUUUUGCGGUGUGGGAUGGGCCCGCGGCCUAUCAGCUUGUUGGUGGGGGGAUGGCCUACCAAGGCGACGACGGGUAGCCGGCCUGAGAGGGUGACCGGCCACACUGGGACUGAGAUACGGCCCAGACUCCUACGGGAGGCAGCAGUGGGGAAUAUUGCACAAUGGGCGCAAGCCUGAUGCAGCAACGCCGCGUGAGGGAUGACGGCCUUCGGGUUGUAAACCUCUUUUAGUAGGGAAGAAGCGAAAGUGACGGUACCUGCAGAAAAAGCACCGGCUAACUACGUGCAGCCGCCGCGGUAA